ensembl:lncRNA
GUACAGACUGCUGCCACACAGGCUGGCUAGGUCGCUCUUGCCUAUGGAGAACAGAAGAGAGUCAUCAGUCUUCUGGAGCUGGAGGUACAGAUGAUCCUGGUUUACAAGCAAGGACCAGAGGCCCAUGAUGAAGGAACAUCAGCGCUCAGGAGGAUCCGAGUCAGAAGUGGACACAUGGGGGACAUGCCAAGCACAAGUUGUGUCAGGGGAGACAGGGCUUCUCCUCCCUCAGCAGCACCUCCUCACCCAUCCAGAAACUCUACACACCCUGGCAUUGAGGGACUUUGUGGAGAUCUGGUUACAUUUGCAUGAGAGACGGCAGCAGUGACCACUGGUGACUGACUCAACCCCCCUCCUCACCUCUGAAGGGCUGAGCAGACACAGACAGAUGCAAGCUCUGCCCUGCUUAUCAUGAAGCUGGUUUCCUUGGAGAGUCACAUCAACAGAAACUCGGGUGUGGCUGGAAGGGGCUUCUUAGGAGCAACAGAGUGCCCUUGAUGCACACAGUCCUCGAAAACUCCCAGGACUUUAGAAGCUCUGUCAGGGAAUGGAGACUAAAACCAAUCAAUAAUCCCAAUUAUCAUAAAUGUGAC